rnacentral:rRNA from 1 species
CACCAGCGCCACGAGUGGCCAUCGCGAUUAUUGGGCUUAAAGCGUCCGUAGUCUGUUCUAUGCAUCUUCUGUGAAAUCGCUGCGCUUAACGUAGCGGCAUGCGGAAGACACGGUAGAACUUGAGACCGGGAGGCGUCAGAGGUACUCCGGGGGGACCGGUAAAAUGGUAUAAUCCCCGGAAGACCACCUGUGGCGAAGGCGUCUGACGAGAACGGAUCUGACGAUGAGGGACGAAAGCCAGGGGAGCAAACCGG